rnacentral:rRNA from 1 species
GACGAACGCUGGCGGCGUGCUUAACACAUGCAAGUCGAACGGUAAGGCCCUUCGGGGUACACGAGUGGCGAACGGGUGAGUAACACGUGGGUAAUCUGCCCUGCACUUCGGGAUAAGCCUGGGAAACCGGGUCUAAUACCGGAUAUUCAGUUCCUGCCGCAGGGUGGGGGUGGGAAAGUUUUUCGGUGCGAGGUGAGCCCGCGGCCUAUCAGCUUGUUGGUGGGGUAAUGGCCUACCAAGGCGGCGACGGGUAGCCGGCCUGAGAGGGUGAUCAGCCACACUGGGACUGAGACACGGCCCAGACUCCUACGGGAGGCAGCAGUGGGGAAUAUUGCACAAUGGGCGAAAGCCUGAUGCAGCGACGCCGCGUGGGGGAUGACGGUCUUCGGAUUGUAAACCCCUUUCAGUAGGGACGAAGCGCAAGUGACGGUACCUGCAGAAGAAGCACCGGCCAACUACGUGCCAGCCGCCGCGGUAAAAC